ACUGCUGUUGUUGCUGUUGUUUUUUGAUGAUCGAACAGACCUAUGACGUAACAUACUUCUAUUGUGACCAUCUCGUGUGUAUUUUCUUCAAGCAUAAGAACAUCAAGAAAUGCAUUAUCCAAUGUGUCCUGUAGAUUUUUUAAGGCUGUGAUAUAAGGAAUAUUUGGCUGUUAUUUCUAGCAUAAGGAGAAAAUGUUCUUCUUUUAUUGUCAGACACGAAUUUCAAGUGUAUAAGUACUUGAGUACUUAAAAGAACACAUCUGUGAAAAAUAACGAGUCUUUGAUUUUAUUCACUCUUAGAUUAUUAAAAUGAAAUGUCAAAUGGACAAAACUGAGCAUUUUCGACAUCAUUUGCUUUUUGCAUUUAAUUGAGGCGUUAAGGCGGCCGAAGCUGCUCGUGAGAUUUGUGAUGUGUUUGGAGGAGGAGUAAUGUCUCAAAGUAUCACCUGCUGUUGGUUUUCGUGCUUCAAAAAUGGGAAUUUUGACCUCAAGGACGGAUCACACACCGGUCGACCAACUGAGUUCGAUGAAGAGCGAUUGAAUCAACUUCUUCACGAAAAUCCUCGUCAAACGACCAAAGAAUUGGCGGAGGGAAUGGAUUGUGAUAGAACUACCGUCACCCAAUGGGCAAGGUUCAGAAACUCGGCACUUGGGUGCCACACACACUUUGAGCGAAAACAACAAACAUUAAAGCUCCACAAUCGCCGCCAAUGUUUUCUUUACCGCAUUGUCACUGGCAAUGAAAAAUAGUACCUUUACGUUAAUAUGAAACAGCGAAAAGAAUGACUGAGCCCCGACAAACAAGCGACUCCGCGAGCAAAACAAGGCCUUCAUUCUCGAAAGACUAUGUUGUGUGUAUGGUGAGACUGGGAAGGUACAAUUCAUUACGAACUUCUUGAGCGCAACCAAACAUUCAGUACGGAACUCUACGUUCAACAACUGCACCGACUCAACGAAGCAAUUCAGCAAAAAAGACCGGAUAGGCGAAAUGGCGUUCUUUUACAACACAACAACGCCCGUCCUCACACCGUCAAUAUGACCAAAGUCGCGAUUCAAGAACUGGAAUGGGAAGUGCUGCCUCAACCUCUAUACUCUCCAGACUUGGCACCGUCAGAUUUUCAUCUCUUUCGACUGCUUUCGAACUCUUUGCGUGGUGUAUCGUGGAAUCGAGGACUUGGUUGGACAAAUUCUUUGAGUCAAGACCGGGAGAUCUCUAUCGAAAAACUUAUUGAACAUUGAAACAUUAAAAAACAUACUGAACGAUAGAAGGAAGUCGUAAACAACAACGGAGAGUAUAUUAUUGAUUAAUUUAUUGUAGUUUUUUUGGUUUAAAAUAAAUUUGAGAAAAACGCUCAUGAA